rnacentral:rRNA from 1 species
GACGAACGCUGGCGGCGUGCUUAGCACAUGCAAGUCGGACGGAAAGGCCCUGCUUUUGUGGGGUGCUCGAGUGGCGAACGGGUGAGUAAUACGUGAGUAACCUGCCCUUGACUUUGGGAUAACUUCAGGAAACUGGGGCUAAUACCGGAUAGGAGCUCCUGCUGCAUGGUGGGGGUUGGAAAGUUUCGGCGGUUGGGGAUGGACUCGCGGCUUAUCAGCUUGUUGGUGGGGUAGUGGCUUACCAAGGCUUUGACGGGUAGCCGGCCUGAGAGGGUGACCGGCCACAUUGGGACUGAGAUACGGCCCAGACUCCUACGGGAGGCAGCAGUGGGGAAUAUUGCACAAUGGGCGGAAGCCUGAUGCAGCAACGCCGCGUGCGGGAUGACGGCCUUCGGGUUGUAAACCGCUUUCGCCUGUGACGAAGCGUGAGUGACGGUAAUGGGUAAAGAAGCACCGGCUAACUACGUG